rnacentral:antisense_RNA from 1 species
AGAGUUCACUGCGAGGACUGGGAUCACCCGUCACCCCGCCCUGGUCUACGGAAAAUGACAAGUGUUUACUGAUAUAGAAACGGAAUAACGGCGCUGUGGGCUGGGGUGGGCGGAGCUGCCUUCAGGCUUCUGGUCUCCAGCGGCGGGGAACUCACACCUGCCGCUGUGAAAAUGCAGACCCGCGAGGCAGGAAUUCCGAGUCCAGCCUGGGGCGCAAUCUGGAAUCUUGACUCGCUUGAAACACCGCGGCGGAUUCGGAGACAGGUGAGUAGGGAAAUGAGCCUCAGCCCCUCCCACGGGCCGCCCACGGAUUCCAGGAUCCGGAAACUCUUCCUGCUGCUGCGUCACCCCAGGAAGGCAGCGCCCGCCUCUGGGCCGUUCUGAUGGAAACUGGCUCCGCCGCCCAGAGGAAAACCCACAACUAAGGGGCCAAGAAAAAGCCUCCAUGGUCCCGCCCUUUCAGUGAGGAUCCUAAUUUAUACCCCGAGUGUGGCCCCCAUCAAAGUCUGCAGUGACAGCCGAGCGCGGUGGCUCACGCCUGUAAUCCCGGCACUUUGGGAGACCAUGGCGGACGGAUCACUUGAGGUCAGGAGUUCGAGACCAGCUUGGCCAACAUGGUGAAGCCCCUUCUCCACUAAAAAUACAAAAAUUAGCCGGGUGUGGUGGUAGGCGCCUGUAGUCCCAGCUACUCGGAGGCGGAGGCAGAAGAAUGGCGUGAACCCGGGAGGCGGAGCUUGCAGGGAGCCGAGAUCGCGCCACUGCACUCCAGCCUGGGCGACAGAGUGAGACUCCAUCUCACAAAAAAAGAAAAAAAAAUGUAGAGUGACGUUCACUGAAAUACUACACCAGCGGGAGGGACCCAGAGCGCUGCGGUUCACAGAAUGCGGUGACAGCGCCGCCUCGCGUCCUUUCCUUCACCUGCCCCAGGCAGACGUGGUCACGUGUGUUGGCCUGGAGGCUGGAAUACACUGGGGUCAAAAGCAGAGAGUGGAGAAAGGAGGGAAGGAUGGGAGGACGUGUUGAAGAAAGACAGGAAGAGCUGGCGCUAUGGUUCAUACCCAUAAAACUAGCGUUUUCGGAGGCGAGGCAGGAGGCUCGUGAGACACCAGGAGUUUGAGGUUGCAGUGAGCCAUGAUCGCACCACUGCACUCCAGCCUGGACGACAGAGUGAGACCCUGCUUUUAUAUACUUUUCAUAUUUUCUGUAAUUAAGCAAGUUUUGUGUCCGGAAUUGGUGGGUUCUUGAUCUCACUGACUUCAAGAAUGAAGCCGCGGACCCUCGCGGUGAGUGUUACGGCUUUUAAGGUGGCGCGUCUGGAGUUUGUUCCUUCUGAUGUUCGGAUGUGUCCGGAGUUUUUUCCUUCUGGUGGGUUCGUGGUCUCGCUGGCUCAGGAGUGAAGCUGUAGACCUUCACGGUGAGUGUUAUAGCUCUUAAGGCCGCACGUCUGGAGUUAUUCGUUUCUCCCGGUGGGCUUUUGGUCUUGCUGGGUUCAGGAGUGAAGCUGCAGACCUUCACAGUGAGUGUUACAGCUCAUAAAAGCAGCAUGGACCCAAAGAGUGAGCAAUAGCAAGAUUUAUUGCAGAGCGAAAGAACAAAGCUUCAACAGUGUGGAAGAGAACCCGAGUGGGUUGCCACUGCUGGCUCAGGCAGCCUGCUUUUAUUCUCUUAUCUGGCCCCACCCGCAUCCUGCUGAUUGGUAGAGCCGAGUGGUCUGUUUUGACAGGGUGCUGAUUGGUGCGUUUGCAAUCCCUGAGCUAGACACAAAGGUUCUCCAAGUCCCCCAUCAGAUUAGUUAGAUACACAGUAUGGACACAAAGGUUCUCCAAGGCCCCACCAGAGCAGCUAGAUACAGAGUGUAGAUUGUUGUAUUCACAAACCUUGAGCUAAACACAGGGUGCUGAUUGGUGUGUUUACAAACCUUGAGCUAGAUACAGAGUGCCCAUUGGUGUAUUUACAAUCCCUGAGCUAGACAUAAAGGUUCUCCAAGGCCCCACCAGAGCAGCUAGAUAGAGUGUGGAUUGGUGCACUCACAAACCCUGAGCUAGGCACAGGGUGCUGAUUGGUGUGUUUACAAUCCCUGAGCUAGACAUAAAGACUUUCCACGUCCCCACCAGACUCAGGAGCCCAGCUGGCUUCACCUAGCGGAUCCCGCACCGGGGCUGCAGGUGGAGCUGCCUGCCAGUCCCGCGCCAUGCGCUCGCGUUCCUCAGCCCUUGGGUGGUCGAUGGGACUGGGCGCCGUGGAGCAGGGAGUGGUGCUCGUCGGGGAGGCUCGGGCCGCACAGGAGCCCUUGGAGUGGGUGGGAGGCUUAGGCAUGGUGGGCUGCAGGUCCCGAGCCCUGCCCCGUGGGAAGGCAGCUAAGGCUCGGUGAGAAAUCGAGCGCAGCGCUGGUGGGCUGGCACUGCUGGGGGACCUAGUACAGCCUCCGCAGCCGCUGGCCCAGGUGCUAAGUCCCUCAUUGCCGGGGGCCAGCAGGGCUGGCCGGCUGCUCCGAGUGCGGGGCCCGCCAAGCCCACGCCCACCCGGAACUCCAGCUGGCCGGCAAGUGCGGCACGCAGCCCCGGUUCCCGCUCGCACCUCUCCCUCCACACCUCCCCGCAAGCUGAGGGAGUGGGCUCCGGCCUUGGCCAGCCCAGAAAGGGGCUCCCACAGUGCAGCGGUGGGCUGAAGGGCUCCUCAAAUGCCACCAAAGUAGGAGCCCAGGCAGAGGAGGUGCUGAGAGCAAGCGAGGGCUGUGAGGACUGCCAGCACUCUGUCACCUCUCGGUUUUACUUUAUUUUAGGAUAAAAUAUCUAUUGUGAAUUUUAAAAACAUGUAAAAUAAAAUUUUAAUUAAAAAGCCUAAA